GAGCUGGAGACCCUGGAGGAGCUGGUGUUGAUCCAGUUUGAGGGUCGGGGAGCUGGAGACCUGAGGAGGAGCCGGUGUUGAUCUAGUUUGAGGGUUGGGGAGCUGGAGACCCUGGAGGAGCUGGUGUUGAUCUAGUUUGAGCAUUGGGGAGCUGGAGACCCUGGAGGAGCCAGUGUUGAUCUAGUUUGAGCGUUGGGGAGCUGGAGACCCUGGAGGAGCUGGUGUUGAUCUAGUUUGAGGGUCACGGAGCUGGAGGCCUGGGGAGGAGCCAGUGUUGAUCCAGUUUGAGGGUCGGGGAGCUGGAGACCCUGGAGGAGCUGGUGUUGAUCCAGUUGGAGGGUCACGGAGCUGGAGACUGAGGAGGAGCCAGUGUUGAUCCAGUUUGAGGGUCGGGGAGCUGGAGACCCUGGAGGAGCCAGUGUUGAUCCAGUUUGAGGGUCGGGGAGCUGGAGACCCUGGAGGAGCCGGUGUUGAUCCAGUUUGAGAGUUGGGGAGCUGGAGACCCUGGAGGAGCUGGUGUUGAUCCAGUUUGAGGGUCGGGGAGCUGGAGACUCUGGAGGACCUGGUGUUGAUCCAGUUUGAGGGUCGGGGAACUGGAGACCCUGGAGGAGCUGGUGUUGAUCCAGUUUGAGGGUCGGGGAGCUGGAGACUGAGGAGGAGCCGGUGUUGAUCCAGUUUGAGGGUCACGGAGCUGGAGACUGAGGAGGAGCCGGUGUUGAUCCAGUUUGAGGGUUGGGGAGCUGGAAACCCUGGAGGAGCCGGUGUUGAUCCAGUUUGAGGGUCGGGGAGCUGGAGACCCUGGAGGAGCUGGUGUUGAUCCAGUUUGAGGGUUGGGGAGCUGGAGACCUGGGAGGAGCUGGUGGUGUUGUUCUAGUUUGAGGUUCACAGAGCUGGAGACCUGGGGAGGAGAUGGUGUUGUUCUAGUUUGAGGAUUGCAGAGCUGGAGGCCUGGGGAGGAGCCAGUGUUUUUCUAGUUUGAGGGUCCUGGACCUGGAGAUUUGAGGAGGAGCUGGUGUUGUUCUAGUUUGAGGGCUGUGGAGCUGGAGACCUGGGGAGAAGCUGGUGUUGUUCUAGUUUGAGCGUUGUGGAACUGGAGACCCAGGGAGAAGCUGGUGGUGUUGUUCUAGUUUGAAGGUGGUGGAGCUGGAGACCUGGGGAGAGGCUGGUGCUGCUGUUGUAGUUUGAGGGUCAUGGAACUGGAGGCGGGGAGGAGCCGGUGCUGUUGCGCUUCAUGUCUGAGGGUUAUAUAGCUGGAAACCCAGGGAGAAGCCGGUAUUACCGCUUUUAAAGUCUGAAGGUCGUGGAGCCUGAGGCCCAGGGAGGAGCCGGUGCUGCUCUUCAAAUGGACCCUCCCGAGGUCUCCAGCUCCAUGACCGUCAAACUACAACAGCAGCACCAGCUCCACCCUGGGUCUCCAGAUCCACGACCCGCAAACUGGAACAGCAGCACUGACUCCUCCCCGGGUCUCCAGCUCCAUGACCCUCAGACUCGUUCUAGUUUCUGUUUCAACUUUCUGUUGUCUUUUUGAGACAGGGCUCUGUUGCCUCGGCUGUAGUUUUGAACUUUGAUGUGAAGGAAUUCUCCUGGGUGGCUGCUCCUACACUGCGUUGGGUCUGAGUAUCUGCUUGAUGUCUAUUUCUGUCCUCCAUUCUCUCCCUGAGACCCACCCACAUUGACAUGGUUCAUUUUCAUUGCUGCGUGAUCUCCCGUCUCCAUUCUCUUCCUGAGACCCACCCACACUAACAUGAGUCUUUUUCAUUGCUGCACGAUCUCCCGCCGUCUGAGGGGAGCAUGGGAAAUGUCUUCAUCUUCCUGUGGACGAGAGUUCAGCCAGGCUGGGGCCCUGAGGACUGUGCUGCUGGGAAUGCUCUUGGGCCUUUCUUUUGUACACAGGUGCACAUUUCUCCUGGUCAGUAGCUUUCAGUUUUUACAAUUUCAUCCCAG
rnacentral:lncRNA from 1 species